UACGAAGGGGGCUAGCGUUGCUCGGAAUCACUGGGCGUAAAGGGUGCGUAGGCGGGUUCUUAAGUCAGAGGUGAAAUCCUGGAGCUCAACUCCAGAACUGCCUUUGAUACUGGCGAUCUCGAGUCCGGGAGAGGUGAGUGGAACUGCGAGUGUAGAGGUGAAAUUCGUAGAUAUUCGCAAGAACACCAGUGGCGAAGGCGGCUCACUGGCCCGGUACUGACGCUGAGGUGCGAAAGCGUGGGGAGCA
rnacentral:rRNA from 1 species